AUAUAUAAUAAGGAGAAACAUUUUGAUUUAUUUAAUUCUUUAUUAAAAUUACUAAAAAACACUUUGAUCUAUUUUAUAAGUUCAAAAUGAUACUUAAAGUGCAUCAUGAUAAUUGAAGAAUCGGUCUGACGAAAGCUAUCCUACGUCAUCAGAAAUAAUAGAGUUUCUCAAAGAGUAAUAUGAAAGCGGAACGAAAGCGGUGAGAUAAUAAAAAUAAGCUCAAAUAAUUUACUAACAAAAUACGAUUGAGACAAUAUAAUACAUGUUAUAUAACAAGGUAGAAAGGUCAGUAGAACACAGAAUAAAUAAUGAGACAAUCGUUUGUACGUUAAUGGUUUUCGGAGCAAAAAAUGAUUAGGGACGGUUCUGUGAUUAAUCUAGUGCUUCGGAACAAAGCAGGCACAAUUACAUGAAGAAAUAGAAUUCAUAUCCAACAUUCACACGAGCACAGGGUGAUUGAAGCGGUUUGAAAAUCAUCAUUCCAUUCAUCACGUAUCCAUAGUAUGCAUUCACAGCGAAAAAAUUUUAAAAAAGUGUUUCCUGUGUAUGUCCUGUAAUUUCAGAUCGUAUUUGUCAUACGAUUUAAAAUGUAUUAAGAACAUUACAUCAUUAGCAGUAAAAUGUAAAUAAACAUAGAAUUUAUUUUAGUAGGUAAUUUUUAUUAAUAACAAAAUAAAAUUAUGACUAGGUGGUAAUAACUACAUAUGUAAUUGUAAAAAAUAAAACUGACGUUAACCCCGCGAACGUUAUAGUGUGGUUCAUCGCUGAAAGUGUAGAAUGUACUUCACAGUGGCACGAAUUUUCUUCCACUAGCGUAUACGUAUGUAUGUCCAUUAUAAUCAAUACAGUAUCUUGAGGGCUGAAUUUACUAUUGAACAGGAAAAAAUAAGUUUAAAGAAGACAAUUAGUGUGAUAAGACAUUGGAAGGUACCAACGCAGAAUAAUCUCAUAGCACAACGUACUCCACAUAAAUUUUUAUAAACCGGUUAUGUUCGUCAUUCUUUUUAUGAAUGCGAAUUGAGUUCAGUUAACGCAUGCGACAUAAUCGCUUAAAUGGUUAAUGUAUUUUUAGAAUGCUUG